CACGUAGGGGGCAAGCGUUGUCCGGAUUUAUUGGGCGUAAAGAGCUCGUAGGCGGUUUCGUAAGUCGGAUGUGAAAACUCCAGGCUCAACUUGGAGACGCCAUUCGAUACUGCGAUGACUUGAGUCCGGUAGGGGAGUGUGGAAUUCCUGGUGUAGCGGUGAAAUGCGCAGAUAUCAGGAAGAACACCCGUGGCUAAGGCGGCUCGCUAGUACGGUACUGACGCUGAGACGCGAAAGCGUGGGGAGCGAACAGG
rnacentral:rRNA from 1 species